ensembl:misc_RNA Metazoa_SRP Metazoan signal recognition particle RNA
GCCAGGCAUGGUGGCGCGUGCCUGUAAUCCCAGCUACUCAGGAGGCUGAGACAGAAGAAUUGCUUGAACCCAGGAGGUGGAGGUUGCAGUGAGCCGAGAUUGUGCCGUUGCACUCCAGCCUGGGUGACAGAGUGGGACUCUGUCUCAA